GGGAGGCAGCAGUGGGGAAUCUUGCGCAAUGGGCGAAAGCCUGACGCAGCCAUGCCGCGUGAAUGAUGAAGGUCUUAGGAUUGUAAAAUUCUUUCAGCAGGGACGAUAAUGACGGUACCUGCAGAAGAAGCCCCGGCUAACUUCGUGCCAGCAGCCGCGGUAAUACGAAGGGGGCUAGCGUUGCUCGGAAUUACUGGGCGUAAAGGGCGCGUAGGCGGGUCGUUUAGUUAGAGGUGAAAGCCCAGGGCUCAACCCUGGAAUUGCCUUUAAUACUGGCGGCCUUGAGUAUGGCAGAGGUGUGUGGAACUCCGAGUGUAGAGGUGAAAUUCGUAGAUAUUCGGAAGAACACCAGUGGCGAAGGCGACACACUGGGCCAUUACUGACGCUGAGGCGCGAAAGCGUGGGGAGCAAACAGGAUUAGAUACCCUAGU
rnacentral:rRNA from 1 species